AUGGUGGCUGACACAGAGGCACCGCAGUCAGCCAGGUCUCCCAGUCCUGCAACCUUCCCCUUCACCCCCACCUCGAGCUGCCUCCCAUUCUUCCCAUCCUCCCCACAAACGCGCAGGCACGCACGCACACACGCGCACACACACACACACACAUAUACAUACACACAGGUUCGCACUGACUCCCAUGUAGUCAACACUGUAAAGAUAAGCCAGAGAGGUGGGGACCCUGAGCCUUAUCUGGCCACUUUUCCCCAGCUCUCCAGGUUGGAGGAGGAAUAUGGAACUGGGGCAGGGGAUCAGGGCAGGGGGAAAGUCAGCCCCCAGCUGUUCUCUGGGGAAGGGGGCUGCCUGCUGCCUGACGAGGGUGGAGAAAGAGGCCCACGGCACCGAGCUGAGGCCGUCUCCACCUCGGAUGCCAUCGCUGUCCCCCUCCUCCAGCUGGAGCUGCGGGCAGGGCAAGGCCACAGGGUGCCCCAGGCAGACAGGGCUAAAGGCCAAGUGGGCCAACUAGGGCCAGGUCUGCGCUCCGGCCCCAUUUGUGGGGCAGCCCUGGGGAGCUCAAAGCGGGUACACCCUUCCUUGGAGUUAGCGGGGCACUGGAGUGGGGGGUUAGUCACUUCAGAGACAGCAACGGAGAACCCCCGGUCCCUGAUGGGGGGAGGGGGCUUAAAGGCAAUCCCCAUCACCAAAGUCCAGUGUGCAAGGGGGCUCAGCUGCGUCCAUCCCCUCAGGAGAUGGGUGGCUCUGGUAAGAGAAAAAAGGGACUCAGUUAAGGCUCCUGGGUCCCAAAAUUGGCAGCAGAGGCAGCCCUGGUCCCCUAGACUGGGCAUUAGGGAGUCGAGUUGUUCUCUCGCUUCCAGCCUGCAGAUAGGGAAUCCCACCUUCACCCCUGGGUUCUUAGGGCCAUGGACUCGAUGCCACAGACAGUUGGGCAGUAUUCCUCUUCCUCCCUCUCUCCUUGUGAAAGCACUUUGGAUGUUUCCUCUUCCUCUCCCUUCCUUCUUCCUUUAA
rnacentral:lncRNA from 1 species